rnacentral:lncRNA from 1 species
CCUAAUAUCUGAAACUGCAAGUUUGAUAAAUGAUUUUAGCAAAAUACAAUCAGUGGCCAUCAAUACAGAACUGAUGCACAAAUUAAAAGGCCCUAAAAGAAUUGGGAGCGAAUAGACAAGAUGGAGAAGAAAUCGAACAACACAGAGGAAUAUGUUUUCUGCAUAAGUUUCCAGUCAUAUAAAAUAGUAGCACAUGCACAAACCUCUUCUCUUCAAUUUCAAAAUAUGAAAAAUAUAUGGCUCAUCCAAUAGAUCCAUCUCCAAAAUCUUUAAAUCCUAUGUCUAAUUGCAAGCCAAAAGCAUCUCACACCCACUACGAAUCAGACUCCACUCCAAAAUCUUUAAAUCCUUUGUCUAAUUGUGAGCCAAACGCCUUUCUCCCAUGAAUUUUGAUUUCUAAGACCAUCUCCAAUGGUACUCCAAACUCAAACCCAAAAUGAGUUUGGGGCCAUAUCCAUAUUUUAAACGGUGCCACAUCAAGAAGAAAUUCAGCAGCUGUUCUUGAAGAAGAAAAUAAUUAAAUGGUGUGAAGAA